UAUUUUCACUUUAGCUUAGUGCACUAUUAUUAUUCUUCUCGCGCAAGAGCGUCUUUAUCUCCCAUCUCUUAUGUGCCUUCUUCUCGCGCCGUUUGCUCUGAGUGCAGCCCCGUCCCUGGCCACUCCACCGGCGACAUCGUCUACUCCGAGUGCGACCUCGUCCUCGAGUUCCACUCCAUUGACGAGACCUCCGAGGGGCAUAGCUUCGCCAACGAGUCGAGAGACAACGACCCCAACUGUGUCGGCGGUCCCUUUAACUCUCUUCUCACGGAUGACGGCCUGUCUACUGUCAUCGCCAAGCCCAACGGCUACGGCGGCGUGUUCUUCUCCUCCUCCCUCGAUUGCAGGCAAAAUUGCGGUUCCAACCCCCAACCGCGCCCUCAUCCAUGCUUUCAAGACCUUCUGAAUUGAUUUUUGGGGUUGUUUAUUUGUCGGUUUGUUUUGUUCUUGUGGCUAUACCCUUCAAAAUCGCUCCUUUAACAAAGUUUGAGCAAUGGAUUGUUGGGAUUGGAUUCCUGUUGGGAUUGGGUUCCUGUGGGUUUACCCUUCAAGAUUAUUCCUUUAACAAAGCUGGUCGCUCGUUUCUUGGUGGCUUCUGACAAGGUUUGCGCUUUGGGGUUGUACAUAUUGGUAUUGGAAUUUGAAGUGGUGAGUGGUGAAGAUGGAUUCAGAAAGCGAGGCUGUAAAGAUACCAAAGAAGGAAUUGGAAGCAGUAGGGGCUCUGAAUUCAAAGAUGAAGGGUUCUGAAAACAUAAGCAGUAAGGAUAUGAUAUUUAGAGCUGAUAAGAUUGAUCUCAAGAGUUUGGAUGCCUAGCUGGAAAAGCACUUGAGCAAGGUUUGGUCAAGGAGUACCAUUGAGGCAAAACAGGCCAAAGAAGACGUUGCUGGUAUUUCCACUUCUUUUAUUUACUUUAUACGUUAUUUUGGAUGAUUUUUGAUGGCAAAACUAUGCACUCUAUGGACUACUCCAAUCUGGACAACGACACUACUGCUAAAUUGAUCAAAGGAAAAAGAGUCACAGUAAUAAGCUCACAUAAAUCUGCUCUUGAUCUUGCAGCUGAAUGUGCAAAUGCAAAUGGUAAGAAACUGUUUUGGUUGCAAAAUAUUCUACUCAACCUGCAGAAGAACUGAUUUUAGUUUUGUCCUACAUCACUGGCUAGUUUAGUACUUUUCAAUUUUUCCCUUGCAAUGGUUUACUCCACAAAUCACUUUUGCAAGAGUCAUGCAUCCUUGCACAAUUCAUGCAAAGGACUGAAUACUGGUUAUUUCCAAAUUUCAACAGUUGGGGAGUUAUCUGCAAAAA